rnacentral:rRNA from 1 species
GGGUAACCUGCCUGUAAGACUGGGAUAACUCCGGGAAACCGGAGCUAAUACCGGAUAGUUCCUUGAACCGCAUGGUUCAAGGAUGAAAGACGGUUUCGGCUGUCACUUACAGAUGGACCCGCGGCGCAUUAGCUAGUUGGUGGGGUAAUGGCUCACCAAGGCAACGAUGCGUAGCCGACCUGAGAGGGUGAUCGGCCACACUGGGACUGAGACACGGCCCAGACUCCUACGGGAGGCAGCAGUAGGGAAUCUUCCGCAAUGGACGAAAGUCUGACGGAGCAACGCCGCGUGAGUGAUGAAGGUUUUCGGAUCGUAAAGCUCUGUUGUUAGGGAAGAACAAGUGCGAGAGUAACUGCUCGCACCUUGACGGUAUCUAACCAGAAAGCCACGGCUAACUACGUGCCAGCAGCCGCGGUAAUACGUAGGUGGCAAGCGUUGUCCGGAAUUAUUGGGCGUAAAGGGCUCGCAGGCGGUUUCUUAAGUCUGAUGUGAAAGCCCCCGGCUCAACCGGGGAGGGUCAUUGGAAACUGGGAAACUUGAGUGCAGAAGAGGAGAGUGGAAUUCCACGUGUAGCGGUGAAAUGCGUAGAGAUGUGGAGGAACACCAGUGGCGAAAGCGACUCUCUGGUCUGUAACUGACGCUGAGGAGCGAAAGCGUGGGGAGCGAACAGGAUUAGAUACCCUGGUAGUCCACGCCGUAAA